GAUGAACGCUGGCGGCGUGCCUAAUACAUGCAAGUCGAGCGAACAGACGAGGAGCUUGCUCCUCUGACGUUAGCGGCGGACGGGUGAGUAACACGUGGAUAACCUACCUAUAAGACUGGGAUAACUUCGGGAAACCGGAGCUAAUACCGGAUAACAUGUUGAACCGCAUGGUUCAACAGUGAAAGACGGUCUUGCUGUCACUUAUAGAUGGAUCCGCGCCGCAUUAGCUAGUUGGUAAGGUAACGGCUUACCAAGGCAACGAUGCGUAGCCGACCUGGGAGGGUGAUCGGCCACACUGGAACUGAGACACGGUCCAGACUCCUACGGGAGGCAGCAGUAGGGAAUCUGCCGCAAUGGGCGAAAGCCUGACGGAGCAACGCCGCGUGAGUGAAGAAGGUCUUCGGAUCGUAAAACUCUGUUAUUAGGGAAGAACAAAUGUGUAAGUAACUAUGCACGUCUUGACGGUACCUAAUCAGAAAGCCACGGCUAACUACGUG
rnacentral:rRNA from 1 species